UUCCUUUCUCCUCCUCUUUGUCUCUCCCCACUCUUUCUGCCCCUCCCCACAAUUCAUUUAAAUCCUCUAAGCUUUCACAAAAUGCUAGAAAGUGAUAAUCACCAAGGGGUUACCAUCCCUCUCAGAACAAAAGAGAAAGGACUACAGAUGACUAAGCUGUAGUGAGUCUCUUGUCUCCAUUUUAGGUAAUUUCCUGAGUGUGAAUUCAAACACAAGUAAAUUGUAUUUAUUUACUCAAUGCUUGAUUGAUUGGUUU
rnacentral:sRNA from 1 species